AUGGAUGGACCGGCGGAGCUGGAGGCGGCGGAGCAAGUGGUGAUACGGUUGGACUCGUCGUUGGCUUCGACGGCGGCGGCAUCGCCGGCGGCGGUUGGGGGCGAGCCGAUGCUGUUCGACGGAGCAGGGGAUCGAACCGAGGCGGAGCGGUUCCUCCGUGCUGUGGAUAACAUCCGCCGCCUCGCUCCGUCGUCCCCCUCGGUGGUCGGGAGCCCGCGGCGGCUGUCGUCCGGGUCGGGGGCGGCGGCUGGUGGAGGCGGGUGCAGCGCCGUGCAGGUCACGAUGGCGCGGCUCGAGGACGAGUUCCGCCACCUGCUCUCGUCCCGCGCCUUCGACCUCGAGAUCGAGGCGCUCGCCGACCUGACAUCUCUCUGUAUCUCCAGCGACCGAACGAACUCGGUCUCAUCCAUGGACCUCCCAGCUGUGGAGGAAGAUGACUCCAUCUCCGACUGCGGCUGCCGGCGAAGCAGCUACCGCUCGCUCCGGAGCAUCCGUGAGAUCGACCUCCUCCCCGACGACGCCGUUGCCGACCUCCGCGCCAUCGCCUCCCGAAUGGCUGCGGCUGGGUACGGCCGCGAGUGUGCCCAGGUGUACGCCUCCGUUCGCAAGCCGGCCGUGGACGCCUCCCUCCGCCGGCUCGGCGUCGAACGGCUCAGCAUCGGUGAUGUCCAGCGCCUCGAGUGGGACGCUCUCGAGGCCAAGAUCCGCCGAUGGAUCCGAGCUGCCCGUGCCGCCGUCCGCGGCGUUUUUGCCAGCGAGCGCCGCCUCUCCUUCCACGUCUUCCAUGACCUCCCAAUCUCCAAUGUCACCGUUGUCAGCGUCGUCACCGCGGCUCCAGCCACGCAUGACACCCCCUUCGUCGAAGCUGUCAAGGGUGCGGCGCUUCAGCUGUUUGGCUUCGCUGAGGCCAUCAGCAUCGGUCGCCGCUCUCCCGAGAAGCUCUUCAAGAUUAUCGAUCUCCACGACGCGCUAUCUGACCUGCUCCCUGACGUCUCCGACAUUUUCGCUGCAUCCAAGGCAGCCGAAUCGAUAUACGUGCAGGCCGUAGAGAUCCGAUCGCGCCUCGCAGAUGCAGUGCGUGGAAUACUCUCGGAGUUUGAGAACGCAGUUCUCCGCGACCCGCCCAAGACUGCAGUUCCUGGCGGCACCGUCCACCCGCUCACACGGUACGUGAUGAACUAUAGCAGCCUCAUUUCCGACUACAAGGCCACGCUCACCGAGCUGAUUGUAUCACGUCCGUCGGCAAGUGCCCGGCUUGCUGCUGAAGGCAAUGAGCUUGCGCCAUCCUUGUCCUGCCUCGAACUACCCGAGCAUGAGAAUCAGUCACCGCUUGCUGCCCAUAUCAUCUGGAUCAUUGUUGUCCUUGAACACAACCUUGAGAGCAAGGUGUCACUCUACAAGGACACGGCUCUCUCACAUUUGUUCUUGAUGAACAAUGUACACUAUAUUGUGCACAAGGUCAAGGAUUCACCUGACCUCUGGAGCAUGAUUGGUGAUGAUUACUUGAAGCGGCUUACAGGAAAGUUCACAGUGGCCGCCACAAAUUACCAGCGGGCGUCAUGGCUAAAGAUCCUGAAUUGUUUGCGAGAUGAGGGUCUUCAUGUAAGUGGUGGCUUCUCGUCAGGAAUAUCCAAGUCAGCUCUGCGGGAGCGAUUCAAGUCCUUCAAUGCUGCAUUUGAGGAUGCGCAUAGGGUGCAAUCUGGGUGGUUCGUGCCGGACACGCAGCUGAGGGAGGAGCUGAGGAUCUCAAUAUCAGAGAAGCUGUUGCCAGCAUACAGGUCGUUCCUUGGCAGGUUCCGGCAUCAUAUAGAGAAUGGGAAGCAUCCAGAGUUGUACAUCAAGCACUCAGCUGAGGACCUUGAGAAUGCCGUGAAUGAUUUCUUUGAAGGGGCUCCUCCUUCCCCGCAUAAUAGGAGGAGAUCUCAUGGAUGA
rnacentral:rRNA from 1 species